rnacentral:rRNA from 1 species
UACGUAGGGUGCGAGCGUUGAUCGGAAUUACUGGGCGUAAAGUGUGCGCAGGCGGCCGAGCAAGUCGAGUGUGAAAGCCCCGAGCUUAACUUGGGAACUGCGCUCGAAACUACUUGGCUAGAGUGUGGCAGAGGGAGGUGGAAUUCCACGUGUAGCGGUGAAAUGCGUAGAGAUGUGGAGGAACACCGAUGGCGAAGGCAGCCCCCUGGGCUAACACUGACGCUCAGGCACGAAAGCGUGGGGAGCAAACAGG